rnacentral:tRNA from 1 species
CCUUCGAUAGCUCAGUUGGUAGAGCGGUGGACUGUAGAAGUUAAUUCAACAUUGUGUAGAAAUCCAUAGGUCACUGGUUCAAAUCCGGUUCGAAGGA